UCGCCGAAGCGUUGUGUCGGAUCGACGUUGAGCGCCUUGCCGAUGACCGCGUCGAGCCAGGCCGGCAGAUCAGGACGAUAGCGCGACAGCGAGGCGGGCUUGCUGAAGCGAGGCCGCGAAAACGGUUCGAUUUCNNNNAUAGGCAACGGUGAACAUGCGGUAAACCGUCACGCCGAGUGCAUAGAGAUCGGAAAAUUCAUCACCGGUGCGCCCGUUGAAAAGUUCCGGCGCCAUGUAACUUGCGGUGCC
rnacentral:misc_RNA from 1 species